rnacentral:rRNA from 1 species
CACGAACUGCGCGAACGUUAUUCGGAAUCACUGGGCUUAAAGAGUUCGUAGGCGGCCUAGUUAGUCGGGUGUGAAAUCCCACGGCUCAACCGUGGAACUGCGCCCGAUACUGCUGGGCUAGAGGAAGUUAGAGGUGAGCGGAACCAAUGGUGGAGCGGUGAAAUGCGUUGAUAUCAUAGGGAACACCGGUGGCGAAAGCGGCUCACUGGAGCUUUUCUGACGCUGAGGAACGAAAGCUAGGGUAGCGAACGGG